rfam:Otolemur garnettii contig153938, whole genome shotgun sequence.
GACGCUUCAUGACAGGAAGGACUGAAAUGUCUCGUGGACGCCUGGUCUUUCCUUGACAUUCCCGCGGC